UAGGGAAUCUUCGGCAAUGGGGGGAACCCUGACCGAGCAACGCCGCGUGAGUGAAGAAGGUUUUCGGAUCGUAAAGCUCUGUUGUUAAGGAAGAACGAGUGUGAGAAUGGAAAGUUCAUGCUGUGACGGUACUUAACCAGAAAGGGACGGCUAACUACGUGCCAGCAGCCGUGGUAAUACGUAGGUCCCGAGCGUUGUCCGGAUUUAUUGGGCGUAAAGCGAGCGCAGGCGGUCAAUUAAGUCUGAUGUGAAAGCCCCCGGCUCAACCGGGGAGGGUCAUUGGAAACUGGUUGGAUUGAGUGCAGAAGAGGAGAGUGGAAUUCCAUGUGUGGCGGUGAAAUGCGUAGAUAUAUGGAGGAACACCAGUGGCGAAGGCGACUCUCUGGUCUGUAACUGACGCUGAGGUUCGAAAGCGUGGGUAGCAAACAGG
rnacentral:rRNA from 1 species